CUUUAAUAACUUUCCAACAGGGUACAAAUGUGUCCGGCUCCACUGAAAUCUCUGACAGUGUAACAGCUAAAGUCAUUUUCUGUGGGGUUUGAAAGGUUGGAGGUUUCCCGAUGUGCAUUCAUAGCUCAACGCAUGAGUGGUGCACGAAUUAACAUCUCAUAGGAAUCUAAUCACAUUUAUGAAGCAUGAAAGUGAGAGAAAUGGACAAAAAAAACAAAAAGUAAGAGCUAUCUUUGGUCAUUUGAAUGUUGUAAAUGUGGCGACCUGAAUGUGUGUUUAGCUGGUGGAGAAUUAGUGUCUGAUGAGUGGACAGAGGUGAUGGUAGGACAGCAGAAAACCACCUGAAGCUAUGAAGCGCAGGAAACCUCAGUAACAGUACGAAUAACAGCCAGCAGAGGGCGCCGUCAUCAGUCUGUGUGUGUGUGUGUGUGUGUGUGUGUGUGUGUGUGUGUGUGUGUGUGUGUGUGUGUGUCUGUGCAUAAAAAAUAAAGAUUUAAAAUCAAGUUGACAACACACCGAGUUAAACCCUUUCACUCAGAUAAAUGUGCUGGUUUUCCUUGAACAAACCUUCAGUUGUGUUCGUUAGAAAACAGAUGUUACUAAGAGGUGCUUCUGUGGCAAAAUGUGACUUAAAAUAUCAUAAAAUUAGCUUGAGGACAAAAAGGAAGCACCCGAUCUUUUAAAGGUGCUGCAAUAUUUUGCAAAUAUACAUGGAAAUCAGUGCUACAUUUGUUGAAGUGCAUCUUUUUUGACUCUAUGAAUAUCUGUAUGUGUGUUUGAGGGGAAUUUGGCCCAGUUGGCAGCAUUCAUGCACAUACAGAACAAACAAACAAACAGAAAGCAGCACAGACUCACAAACACACAUACGAUUGUAAACAAAAGCUGUUUUUCUUAUGAAAGAGAGGAGUAUAAAAGCGCACUGCCACAGUGUGCCGAUGAAAAGCUCUAUGGAGUGACUACUGCAUUAGAAAAAGCGACGAUGACGCAAACAUAAACUGUGGGAUAAAAAAGGAUUAUAUUACAAAGCCUUUUUAGAGUCCUGAGUUUAUCAAACCAAACAGACAAAAAGGCCAGAAGAGUCUUUAUAUCAUAGAAAUACCAUAAGGAUUUAAAAAACAUAAACAAGAGGUUUUUUUGUGUUUUUUUUUUCAGAUUUGACCGUCCUCAGACCAGCACAUCCACGGCUCUUGUUUGGGACGAUACACAUUUCACAGCACUCGUGUUGUUACCAGAGUCUGAAAUGAGGCGCUCAUCGUACAGGAAAAGCAGCAUCCUCUGGUGAAAACAUUAGAAAAGGCUUAUUUCAGUGAAAAUUACAGUAGAAAGUUUCAAAAUGGAACCUGAAACGUGUUUGUGAUGCUCGGAAUCAAUGUGUGCCGUCCCCAACUGGACACCGAUGUGAGGAAAAAAGAUGACUGGGAGCGGUCCAGUACAACCACAGCCUUCUACUGCUGGUUACUGGAACGUUGUGGGUUCAGUGCCUUGCUCAAAAGGCACCUCGGCAGCUGCUACUGAGAAAGAAAUGUCUAAUCUCCAAAGCCCCUUUCAGACUCCUUCUUCGUUAAUGUGGCAGCAUCUGACGGCCGAUCACUUUUCUCUCAAAGCUAAAAUCGUACUACUUAGUAACGUUCACAGUUCACUCUCAGCACGACACAAGUCUGAGCUGCAGGACGUCGCGUUAACAGAUCGGCACAAGCUCACGACAUACUCCGAGUCGACUAGGGGGAAGGCUUUUCCCACAUAUCAGCACCAAUAGCGGUCUAAAAAAACAAAAGAGUUUGAAAUUGCUAAAACUCUCUCCUUAACUUUGUCCUACAAUUUCACACCAACUCUGAACUGAAAUGUCCACUAAAAAUACAACUUUACUGCAAUGAAGACAGGUCACAUUAGUGAUAUCUGUGUUUAAGGGCCGACACCGGUUAUCGGUACUCAAGAAAGGCCAAUAUUUGGGGCUGAGGUACAUUUGAUGGAAUGUUCAGUUCCUCCAGGAUUCUGUGGGCUUCUUUCCAGAUUGUUGAGGCCUAAAGUGCCUGAUUUUGCGGCAACUUUUCUUUAAAAAAAAAAAAAAAAAGCUGCGAUGUAAGUUGCGAUACUUUAAGCAUAUUUAUCUGGUCUGUUUCCGCUCCUUUCAGACGUUCUCCUAAUAUGUUUGGAGGUAGAAAAGUGUUUGUAAGUCGAUGAUUUUCGUUUGUUUUCCACCACAAUAUUUCAUGGGUGUAAAACAGUUUAGCUCCGCUUUGGUGAAGAACAUCAGGGACUUGUUUUUCACGUCUUCAGCAGUAAUUUUUGUUGGUAAAUAAGAGACAUUAGAAUGGGACAUGUCUGCAUCUUCAAAUCAGAAACAGGAAGUGAAUUCGGUGAUGUUCGUGUAUUACAUAUGGACUGCUAUGACUGGUGGAACUCACGGGAGGCAGGACAAAAUUGCAUAAAAGUUGCGGUGAUUGGACAAAAUUGCAAGGUAGCGCAAAAUUCAGAGAUUGGUUGAACUUGCGUUAAUUGUUGUGAUCGAAUUUUUCUUAAUCUUUCACUGUUCUAGCACUUUUAUUACCCACUAUGGCUCAUAUCUUACAGCAUUAUUAAUUUACUGCUUUCCAGACUCUGUUUCAGGUUAAUCUGUGGCUGCCUUAUAACCUAGCCACUAGCCAAGAAGCUAAUUUCCUGGUUUGUGGCAACUUGUUCAGUUUUUUCUGUCUCUGAGACCACUGAGUGACGACAGACAGACAGAGGAGGCUGAUCAGACCUGAGCUAGAGCAUUUAAUUCAUCAAUAAUCAGCCAUUAAUUUACUAAUUCCAAUAAUCGAAAAAAUACCAAAUAUCGGCCAAUAAUCGGUCUCUCCCUAAAUGAGACUCACCAUUAAUGCAAGAAAAAGCUUAGUUUGUUGCUUCCAGAUAUUUAGGAGUCUUUCCUCUGAGUUUAUUAAUAAAAGCAUUAAAUACCUGCAGCAUCAGGCAGCAGCAGGAUCCAUAGUAGGGAUAAGCUGAUUAUUGGCCUAUUAUCGGGGCUCAAUAACGGCAUUUUGCUGAUUAUCUGUAUUGUUAGUCUUAUUAAGUAUCGCUUACUUACUCUACUUCAGGUCUGAUGCUGCCUCCUCUCUCUGUUUGCAGUUACUCUGUGGUCUCAGCAAAGUCUCUCUACCAGAAACACAACCCAUAAAAACAGAACAAGAAACCCAAGCCGCCGCCACAAAGCAGGAAAUUUACUGCUUUCAAGGCAGCUAAAGCUAUGCUACGUCACAGCGAUCCUACUGCUAGGAGACGCCUUAGUAAUAAAAACACCUAGUUAUGGAUGACAGGUUCUAUGCUAUCGAAUGCUGCUAAGGACAACAUUUAUUGUAUAUCGGUUUAAAAUAUCAGGUAUUGUUCUUUCUUCAUGACCAAUAAUCGCCAUCAGUAUCGGUCGAUCCCUUAACCCUCCUGUUGUCGUCAUUUACGGACACCAAAAAAUAUUGUUUCCUUGUCUGAAAAAAAUCUAAAAAUUCAGCAAAAUAAUUCCCCAAAUUUCUGAAAAUUUGCAAAACCUUCAGGAAGAAAAUUCCAAUAAUUCCUUAAAAGUUUCCCUUAAAAGUUUUAUUUUAAAAAAAUCCCCCGAAUUUGGCAAGAAAAUUCUUGUAAAUAUUUUCAAAAAUGAGUAAAGACCUUCCAAAAAUCCUAAAAAUAUCUAAAAAGUGAUUCCAUAUGUAUUAGUAAAACUUCUAAUAUUUUCUUUAACAACAUUCACAUAAAAAU
ensembl:lncRNA